ensembl:misc_RNA Metazoa_SRP Metazoan signal recognition particle RNA
GCUGGGUGUGGUGAUGCUUGCCUGUAGUCUCAGUUACUCAGGAGGCUGAGGCAGAAGGAUGGCUUGAGCAUAGGAGUUCUGGGCUGUAGUGCCCUAUGAUGAUAGGGUAUCUGCACCAUCGAUAUGGUGACCCACUGAGAGCAAGGUACUACCAGGUUGUCCAAGGAGGGGUGAACCAGCCCAGAAAUGGAGCAAGUCAAAACUCUUGUGCUUAUCAGUAGUGGGAUGGUGUGUAUGUGAAUAGCCACUGCACUCCAGCCUGGGCAACAUAGUGAGACCCCGUCUCU